rnacentral:tRNA from 1 species
GGUAAGGUGGCCGAAAUAGGUGUUGAGUUGUAGCCUCAUUUAUAAAGGUGGUCCCUUUCCUUACCA